GGACUGUUAGUUUAUCGGUUAGAAUACUCGCCUGUCACGCGAGUGAGACGGGUUCGAUUCCCGUACAGUCCGCCA
rnacentral:tRNA from 1 species